AUCAAAGUAUGCAUCAAUAUGCUGCUCCACACAAUGCUCACUCCUCUCAGGGCAUCUUCCAGCCUCUGGAAUGCAACCCCACUUUGCAGAUUGGCAGUGACUAUAGGUACAAUGGGGUAGGGCCAGAUCAUAUAACUGCAACAACAACAACUCAAGCUCAACAAGUGAGUGGUUUCAUCCCUGGAUAGAUGCUUUGAGCUCAUCACUAUAUUCAACUUUUGCAACAUUAAAAGGAAAAGCCAAAAGAAAAAGCACCUCACAAAAAAAGAAGGGUGUAAAAUUAAAGCCAAAAGAAAAAAAAAUGUUUGUGAUCACGUUUUACAGCUUUCAUAUAAUUAUAAAUAGGUUACUUUUUUGGUAGCAUAGGUGUUAGUAGCUAAGCAUGAUUAUGGUUUGACUGGCCAAUAGCCUUAUUACAUGUGGUGUAAUAUGAGGUUGUCAUCGAAAAUGUUAAUUAUUUGGUCUAAAGAGAGUGUAUUUGUCUUGGAGUUUUCAUUG